GUGAACAAUGAAACGGAAACAACAAAUUCUCAAAUCUCAAUGUUCUACUCUCUCCCACACGUCCUUGUGGCCACAAAAGUCUAGUUGUUAAUGGACCCCUUGAAAGCAUUUCUUCUGAUCUUGCUUUAGAUACAUUAGCUGAAGUGUGCAGGUGGAACUCUGUGCAUAAGUAGUUUGGAGGGGAUGUGAUAGAGAAUGAUUUUGUGGGCAAUGGCAGUUUUCUUAUGCUUUUUAUUUGUAUUUUGAAUGUGUAAAAUUUAAUAUUUUGAUUUUAUAAAGUUUUACGAGAUUGAAACA